GGUCGCGUGGCCCAAUGGCAAGGCGUUUGACUACGAUUUGAUAUCUAUCAAAAGAUUGCGAGUUCGAUCCUCGCCGUGACCU
rnacentral:tRNA from 1 species